AACUAGCCACAUGUUUCCUAUGUAUAGAUUUAACUGUCUACCUGGUGUCACAAGUUUCAAGCUAACCCCUUUUGUUGGAGACUUUAUAGCAUUUUAAUCAUAUACCUUAGCAAGUGUAGAAAAUUAAACCCAAACCUAAAGAGUAGAGAUGAGCAGCAACAGUCCCAUUGUGAUUAGUCAGUCCCUUUAUUAUUUUUCUCUUCUUCCUCUGUUCCAUAGUCAGGUAUAGGACAGAGAUUUUGGAGGAAACCUUUAAACAGCAUGCUUGGGUCUAGAGGAGGGGGAGCCAUAUCCAACUCCAGAGCCAGAUUUUAACUGAAAUGGAACAUCAUAAAACAUUCUAAUGCCACUCAUACCUAAAGACACCUGCAUUCCUGUAAAGCAGAAUCCAGUAAGAAGACUUGGAGACGGGAAUUGUGAACCUGACUAUAGACAGAGAUCACUGCAGGAGGGAGCUGAGAGAUUCAUCAGCCAGUGUAUGUGCUGGAAGUGAGCCUGCUGCAGCUGUCCUACCUCCUUUGGUUUCUCCCAUUCCUGUUGGUUAGAAUUUCCUUAACUGAAGGAGGGCGGAUUCCACGGCCCAAUCCAGAGGCUGAGUUCAGCGACGUCAUCAGUUGCCAGGGAAGGCUGCUCCUGGAGGCGUUCCCAGCGCCACAACCCUCUCUCUUCUCCAGCUCUAGGAUCUGAGAUGGUGGCGACUUCGCCUGGGGUGGGUGCACUUUUGACAUCUGCACCAUUAAGCUGAGGUGCAGUAAGCGCCAGGCUAAAGGUGCCUGGCUGAAUGUUCCCCGAGUGCUCAAACUGCUGAGUGAAUGAAUGACCAUCCCAGCGCUGGCCCGACUCUGUAGCCUGAUUAACGGGUUUCAACUGCAAUUGGAUCCAGCACUAAAAUAGUAAAUAAAAAAAGAAAUUGCUGGUUUCCAAGAG